rnacentral:rRNA from 1 species
UACGGAGGGUGCAAGCGUUAUCCGGAUUUACUGGGUUUAAAGGGUGCGUAGGCGGAUAGGUAAGUCCGUGGUGAAAUCCUGCAGCUUAACUGCAGAACUGCCGUGGAUACUAUCUAUCUUGAAUGUCGUGGAGGUUAGCAGAAUAUGUCAUGUAGCGGUGAAAUGCUUAGAUAUGACAUAGAAUACCCAUUGCGAAGGCAGCUAACUACGCGAUAAUUGACGCUGAUGCACGAAAGCGUGGGGAUCAAACAGG